UUGUUUUCAUACCUUUUGUUUACCAAAUAAUUUUUGUUUGACAUGUGAUUUUUUCCUUCCCACCCUCUCUUGCAAAAAAAAGUGGAUUUCUGCUAAUGAAUUGAGCAGACAU